rnacentral:tRNA from 1 species
GAGGGUGUAGCACAAGUUGUAAAGCACAUGCUUAGCAUGCACGAGGUCCUGGGUUCAAUCCCCAGUACCUCCU